rnacentral:rRNA from 1 species
AGAGUUUGAUCAUGGCUCAGAAUGAACGCUGGCGGCAGGCCUAACACAUGCAAGUCGAACGGUAACAGAAAGAAGCUUGCUUCUUUGCUGACGAGAGGCGGACGGGUGAGUAACGCGUGGGAAUCUACCCUUUAGUUGGGGACAACAUAUGGAAACGUAUGCUAAUACCGAAUAUGCUCUACGGAGUAAAGGUGCCCUCUCCUUGGAAGGUAUCGCUAAAGGAUGAGCCCGCGUUAGAUUAGCUAGUUGGUAAGGUAAAAGCUUACCAAGGCGACGAUCUAUAGCUGGUUUGAGAGGAUGAUCAGCCACACUGGGACUGAGGCACGGCCCAGACUCCUACGGGAGGCAGCAGUGGGGAAUAUUGCACAAUGGAGGAAACUCUGAUGCAGCCAUGCCGCGUGUGUGAAGAAGGCCCGAGGGUUGUAAAGCACUUUCAAUUGUGAGGAAGAUAAUGUAGUUAAUACCUGCAUUGUUUGACGUUAACUUUAGAAGAAGCACCGGCUAACUCUGCGCCAGCAGCCGCGGUAAUACAGAGGGUGCAAGCGUUAUUCGGAAUUACUGGGCGUAAAGCGCGCGUAGGCGGACUGUUAAGUUGGAUGUGAAAGCCCUGGGCUCAACCUAGGAACUGCAUUCAAAACUGGCAAUCUAGAGUUUAAGAGAGGGAAGGGGAAUUCCAGGUGUAGCAGUGAAAUGCGUAGAUAUCUGGAGGAACAUC